rnacentral:tRNA from 1 species
AACUACUUAUUCUAAUUGGAAUAAAAUAAAUAAAGCUUCUAACUUUAUAACUAAUAAUUUAAAAUUAUUAUUAUUCC